UACGUAGGUGGCAAGCGUUGUCCGGAAUUAUUGGGCGUAAAGCGCGCGCAGGCGGUCUCUUAAGUCUGAUGUGAAAGCCCACGGCUCAACCGUGGAGGGUCAUUGGAAACUGGGGGACUUGAGUACUGGAGAGGAGAGUGGAAUUCCAUGUGUAGCGGUGAAAUGCGUAGAUAUAUGGAGGAACACCAGUGGCGAAGGCGGCUCUCUGGCCAGUAACUGACGCUGAGGCGCGAAAGCAUGGGGAGCGAACAGG
rnacentral:rRNA from 1 species